GCUUCUUUAGCUCAGUUGGUAGAGCGCUCGACUGUUAAUCGAGUUGUCGCAGGUUCAAGUCCUGCAAGAAGCGCCA
rnacentral:tRNA from 2 species